CACACUUACUUUAUGCAAUAUCUAUGUUACAUGUAUAUUAUCAUAUGGCAGCAUCUAGACUGUAGGAGAAUCAUCAUUAUGUUAAUAUGUAUGUCUGUUUCAUUGCUAAUGAAAUAAACAGAGAAAGCUCUCUUAAUUUACAGAAUAAUCGAAAGAAAUGGGUAGGUUAGAUUCUCAUAAUAUAGAAUAAUCCCAUCUGGUUUUAAAAUCAAUAAGAAAUUCUCACUGGGGAAAAAAAUAGAGAUAUAGUUUGCUUUUUGUAACUGGUAUUCAAGGAAAGCAAGGCCAAAGCUUUUCUUCCCAUCAGUAGUGCAUUCUAACAUUAAAGCACAGUCUAUUACAUAAAAGCUCACCCUUAUCUUUACCGUCUGCAUAUUAGGCAAAGAUACGCAGGGCUUUAAAUGGCUUCUCUCUCUAGUGUUUGACUCUUGCAAGCUUACUCAGGUUAGAAGUCACAGAGAAGGAAGGAAGGAAUUCACCACCAGUUAAAAGGUACAUAUUCUGACUUCUUGCAAUUAAUAUUGUUUCCUUGUUUAAACAACAAAGAUAAAAAUAAAAGGGCUUAGAAAACUAGGAUGUCCAAAUUGGAGAAAAAUGUACUGGACAAAAUCCAGCAAAAGCCAAUCAUUGUUGUGAAAGGGGCAAUCUUGUGCACUCUUAUAUGACAUUAAAUUCCACUGAACUCAGAGGUACUUACUUCAGAGUAAACAUUCAUAGGAUUGUGUCCCAUCUUCUGUUAAAAUCAAAAGGGUUUAAAUCUAACAGUACAUGAUUAAGUACUAUUCUUUUGCUUGUAACAAAAAUGCAGUAAAAUCUCAUGCAUAUUUAUUGUAAAGUAAUUUCCACUAUAUGCAGAAGGGCCUACUUGCAGGUAAAGGAGCACAAUCUUAGUUGUGACUCAUUUUAGCAGGGUUUUGCCCAUGUUGUUUCUCUAGAUUUUUAAAAUCAGUAAAAGAGCCGCCAUCCAGUAUUCUGGGCCUUCUUUCUCAGUCUUUCAAAAGUAUAUAUUUAAAUAAAAACAGACCUGUCAAAUACUCAGAGAUCAAAUUCCUUUAUAACCAUGACACAAGGACUAUAUAGAUUUGAUAUAGAUAUAGCUAUAUAAUUUUAUAUUGCAUUAAAUGAAAAGUUCAUGUUGUACUUUGAUUUUUAAAUCCAUACCUCAAUAAAUUCAUCAUCAUCCCAUACAACACAAUUAAUAGGAAGAUUAUAACUAAGAGCUCUAAAAAUAUUGUUAAAAGAAAGUGCCAGAAGUCAAUAUAUUUAAAAGGCAUCCUUAAAAUGUAAGCAUUAUUGGAAAUCAGAAAUACUGGUAUCAGUGGACUAGAUUUUUUAAAAAUUGAAAUCAUGUAAUAUGACUUUCUUUUUUCUUGAUUUGCAGAAGAAAGAUCUCUUUGGCAGUAGGAGAAUCCUCAAAUGAACAAGUGAACACAAAAGCCUGGUCCAAACUAGUCUCAUUUCAAUCAGUGGGAGUUUGGCUCUCAUACAUUGCUAUGAGAACCCAAAGGGACUUAAAAGACCCAUUUGGGUUGGGAACUGAAACGCCGGUGCAUAGUGUUUAAUUUUAUUAAUCUAUUUACGCUCACUGCUUUUGAACAAAUGCCCAUUUAAAAUAGUUUUGCAUAAUUACACAUUUAAGUCGUGUUUGGGUUGAUUCUUAAUUUAUUAUUGUUAUUGUUAUCUUGAGCUGCAUGAAAAUUAUUGAUUCACUGAAAUGGAGUCGGGCCUCUCACAAGCUCUUUUCUCCAAGAUGCUUUUGGAAUUUUCUGCUUUGCUACAAGAAGGUUUGGUCACAGUGUACUGUGCCAGCUCCAAGAACUGCUCUACACUUCUUCUCUUGCCAAGUCAUGCUUACCUCAGGUGUGUGGGAACUAACUUCUGGAGUUUCCUUUCUGGAAUUUUACAGUCCUCUUUGUUCUGUCCUGUGAAGCUUGGAACCUUGGAGCAAAUCAAACAUUGACAUUCUAUUGGAAAUGAUUAAAGUAUUGGCAUCAUACACAUCAUCUUUUCAUCUAAUAAUUGACAGGCAUGUCAGUUGGAUUCCUUCCUGUUUUCCAUCCUUUCAGUCUUCUAGCCAGCAAAUAUAUGGCCUUCAAAGAAAGAUGAAUGAAAACUAGACAUGCUACACUUCGGGAUGCAGACAGUCCCAAAAGUCUGAAAAGUUUCCAGAAAGAAGAAGAGGCUGAGUGGCAGCAUUAUUAUGAGAAGAAGAAAGGCACAAGUCCAAACUGGCACUCAUCCCACAAGGCUUCCCAGAGAAGGAUGGGAACUGGUGUUGCACCGGCAGUGCAAGAAAAUAGUGUAACAUGAUGUUGAAGGCGCUUGUGAUCUCAUUGGGUGCUGGAAUUCUCAGGAUGGAACUUCUCCAAUGAACUUGCCCCUGUGGUGUGUACUGAACUAUCCUAGAUGGAUAAAUCACUGCAACUAUCUAGGCCUUCAGAGAUUCAACAGAGGUCCCAGGGUGUGCUCUGAGGGCAUGUAGCCUUCCUGCCAAAGCUAAGCAGGAAGAAGCACCUCCUGUGCUUGGCUCAGAAAUAGAUUCUAUGGCUCCCAGCCCCUUCCACUUGAGAAGGAGACACGAUAGUGUUUGGGCGCCAUCUUGUGGCUUUAUCAAGUAGGGGCAUUUAAACCUAUGUGCGUGGCACGCCGUUUGGCAGCAAGCAGAAUGCCUUAAACCAUUUCCACAUGUAGAAUUGGCAAGAGGCUGCUGGGUCCCAAAACAUGCAGCUGCAUCAUGCUGGACACAUUUCUGAGUGAUGAAGAGAAACUGAAUCUGACAAAAGGCAUGAAGAGAUCUGUCUGGAACAGUUGGUGAAAUGUUAAUUACAAUUAAAUUAACUUGUAAUGUUUCGCAAUGGUGAUAUGAUUAGCCUGGUGACAUUAUUACUUGUCAAAAAUAUUGUUCUGUGGCUUUAAUAUUUGUAUCCAUGAAUUCUGAAAGGAAAUGACUGGUACACAUUUUAAUAGAGAUGGGAUGUUUGCA